rnacentral:rRNA from 1 species
GUUGGAUCCUGGCUCAAGGCGAACGCCGGCGGCGUGCCAGCGACAUGCGAGUCCCGCGAACUGCUCAAAACCUUGCUUUUGAACCGUGUGCGGCCGACGGGUGACUAUCACCUGCGCAACCUGCCUGGUAUACUUGGAUAACUUCGGGAAACGAGGGCUAAUACCUGAUCUCCCUUCUCUUCUCAUGAAGAGAAGUUAAAAGAUGGCUUCGGCUAUCACUUACACAUGGGCCCGCGGCGCAUUAACUCUUUGGUGAGGUAAAGGCUCACUUCGGCGACGAUGCCGCCCCGACCUGAGAGGGUGAUCGGCCACACUGGGACUGAGACUGGCCCACACUCCUACGGGAGGCAUCUUGAUGGAAUCUUCCACACUGGACUCGAGUGUCAUCGACCUUCUCCUCCUGAGCGAAUAAGGUCUUCUGAUCAUGCACCUCUGUUAUUACGUAAUAACAAGUACCGUUUGAAUAAGGCGGUACCUUGACGGUACCUAAUCAGAAAGCCACGCUAAGUACGUCGCCCAGUCCGCGGUAUCUGUAGUGGCGAGCGUUGUCGGAAUUAUGGGGUAAAUCGCGCGAUGGUGCUAGUUCUGAUCAACACGCGUCCCGGACGAGUCAUUGAGAUGGUGGAGGUGAGUACAGAGAGAGUGGAAUUGCGUGUACACGGUGAAUGCGUAGAGAUGUGGAGAACACCAGCUGACGAAGCUGCUCUUGUCUGUAACUGACGCUGAGAGCGUGCGAAGCGUGGUAGGAACAGAUAAUACUGUAGUCCGCCGAAACGAUAGUGUAAGUGUUCCAGAGUUUCGCCUUUAGGCUGCAGCAAACCAGUAACACUCCGAUGGGGUACGCCACAGGCGAAACUCAAGGACAGUGACGGGCUCGCAUCAAGCAGAUCUAGUCAUGGUGCAUUUACAUUGAAUGCAACAGCGCAGAACCUACAGAUCGUGACAUCCUGUAUCAGUAAUAGAGAUAGGACGUUCUCAUUCGGUGGUCAGAGGUACAGGCGGCGCAUGGUUGUGGUCAAAUCAGGUCAUGAUAUGUGGCAUUAAGUCCGGCAAGGAGGGCAACCUUUGAUUUUAGUUGCCGGCCUUUAGUUGGACAGCCUAAGGCGAUAUGAUUCGACAAACCGGAGGAAGCAGGGGAAGACGUCAAAUCCUCAUCCCCCUUCCAGGCAGGUAGCACCGACCAUCAGGGACAUGGUACAAAGGGCAGCGAAACCUCGAGGUCGAGCCAAUCCCAUAAAACCAUUCUCAGUUUCGAUUGCAGGUAGCAACUCUCGUGCAUGAAGCGGGAAUGGUU